UGGGGUAUCGCCAAGUGGUAAGGCACGGGACUUUGACUCCCGCAUUCGUAGGUUCAAAUCCUGCUACCCCAGCCA
rnacentral:tRNA from 2 species